CCUAUUCUCCUUUUCUAGGUUCUUGAAAGGCCUCCUGUUGUUCCUUUGUGAUUGUGUGGGUGAAAGUUUUCAUUCUGAGAAGAAUGAUGGGGACUCCAUACGUCCCAGUACGGGAUUUUAGAUGCUCAGUGUGUCUGGUGAAGCAAUGUGUUGCAGCCUCAUUAGAGAAGAACUCUGGAUUGUUCUACAAUCAUGGCCCUAGCAUCCUUAGACACAGGAGGCAGCCCUCAACAGCAUCAAUAAAAGCUAAUCAGAUGAAUCUGCUGAGAACCUGGAACCUUCAGAUGAGACUGAGUCAGGAGCUGAAAGGAUUUAUGGCCUCCUCUAUCCUGACAGAAGUUUUCGCACCCUUUCCCCUCUUCUUUGUUUCUAAAAGGUAUUUAAGGGUUUGAGAUUCUCCCAUUCAUCGCCAGAUGCUGGACUCUGGAUUCUUUGAGAUGACAGUCUCCUCCAGCCCUGGGACCAACAUGGAUCCCUUGGUCCCAGUAUAUCUCUAAUCUCUGUCUGAUUGGAUAAUUUGAGACAAGAGUCCUGUCCAGUCAGUUAUGCUCUCCAAUUAAUAAAAUAUUAAAAACUCUC